rnacentral:rRNA from 1 species
GACGAACGCUGGCGGCGUGCCUAACACAUGCAAGUCGAGGGUUUUAGUAGUAAUACGAAGAACACUGGCGCACGGGUGAGUAACGCGUAGAUCAUCUGCCCCUAACACUGACAUAACAGUUCUAACGGACUGCUAAUAUCAGAUGUGAUAAGCAAUUAUUAAAGGGUAACCGGUUAGGGAUGAGUCUGCGUCUGAUUAGGUAGUUGGUGAGGUAACGGCUCACCAAGCCUACGAUCAGUAACUGGUCUGAGAGGACGAACAGUCACACUGGAACUGAGACACGGUCCAGACUCCUACGGGAGGCAGCAGUGAGGAAUAUUGCACAAUGGGAGGAAAUACCUGAUGCAGCGACGCCGCGUGUGGG